AUUGAACGCUGGCGGCAGGCCUAACACAUGCAAGUCGAACGAGUGGCGGACGGGUGAGUAGUUUCUGGGAAACUGCCUGAUGGAGGGGUAUAACUACUGAAAACGGUAGCUAAUACCGCUUACCGCCAGAUGUGCCCAGGUGGGAGUAGCUUCGUGGUGGGGUAACGGCGCACCAAGGCGACGAUCCCUAGCUGGUCUGAGAGGCUGACCGGCCACACUGGGACUGAGACACGGUCCAGACUCCUACGGGAGGCAGCAGGGGGGAAUAUUGCACAAUGGGCGAAAGCCUGAUGCAGCCAUGCCGCGUGUAUGAAGAAGGCCUUCGGGUUGUAAAGUACUUUCAGCGGGGAGGCGUUACCCGCAGAAGAAGCACCGGCUAACUCCGUGCCAGCAGCCGCGGUAAUAC
rnacentral:rRNA from 1 species